GAACGGCAUCCGGGGGCAUCCUGAGUGGCGAGUGGCGAACGGGUGAGUGAUACAUCGUGAACGUGCCCAGUCGUGGGGGAUAACUACGCGAAAGCGUAUCUAAUACCGCAUACGAUCUAUGGAUGAAAGCGGGGGAUCGCAAGACCUCGCGCGAUUGGAGCGGCCGAUGGCAGAUUAGGUAGUUGGUGAGGUAAAGGCUCACCAAGCCUGCGAUCUGUAGCUGGUCUGAGAGGACGACCAUCCACGCUGGGACUGAGACACGGCCCAGACUCCUACGGGAGGCAUCAGUGGGGAAUUUUGGACAAUGGGCGCAAGCCUGAUCCAGCCAUUCCGCGUGCAGGAUGAAGGCCCUCGGGUUGUAAACUGCUUUUGUACGGAACGAAACGCGCUGAGUAAAUACCUCGGCGUAAUGACGGUACCGUAAGAAUAAGCACCGGCUAACUACGUGCCAGCAGCCGCGGUAAU
rnacentral:rRNA from 1 species